rnacentral:rRNA from 1 species
GGGUUGUGAGGUUAAGCGACUAAGCGUACACGGUGGAUGCCCUGGCAGUCAGAGGCGAUGAAGGACGUGCUAAUCUGCGAUAAGCGCCGGUAAGGUGAUAUGAACCGUUAUAACCGGCGAUUUCCGAAUGGGGAAACCCAGUGUGAUUCGUCACACUAUCAUUAACUGAAUCCAUAGGUUAAUGAGGCGAACCGGGGGAACUGAAACAUCUAAGUACCCCGAGGAAAAGAAAUCAACCGAGAUUCCCCCAGUAGCGGCGAGCGAACGGGGAGGAGCCCAGAGCCUGAAUCAGCAUGUGUGUUAGUGGAAGCGUCUGGAAAGGCGCGCGAUACAGGGUGACAGCCCCGUACACAAAAGCGCAUGUGCUGUGAGCUCGAUGAGUAGGGCGGGACACGUGGUAUCCUGUCUGAAUAUGGGGGGACCAUCCUCCAAGGCUAAAUACUCCUGACUGACCGAUAGUGAACCAGUACCGUGAGGGAAAGGCGAAAAGAACCCCGGCGAGGGGAGUGAAAAAGAACCUGAAACCGUGUACGUACAAGCAGUGGGAGCACCCUUCGGGGUGUGACUGCGUACCUUUUGUAUAAUGGGUCAGCGACUUAUAUUCUGUAGCAAGGUUAACCGUAUAGGGGAGCCGGAGGGAAACCGAGUCUUAACCGGGCGUUAAGUUGCAGGGUAUAGACCCGAAACCCGGUGAUCUAGCCAUGGGCAGGUUGAAGGUUGGGUAACACUAACUGGAGGACCGAACCGACUAAUGUUGAAAAAUUAGCGGAUGACCUGUGGCUGGGGGUGAAAGGCCAAUCAAACCGGGAGAUAGCUGGUUCUCCCCGAAAGCUAUUUAGGUAGCGCCUCGUGAAUUCAUCUCCGGGGGUAGAGCACUGUUUCGGCUAGGGGGCCAUCCCGGCUUACCAACCCGAUGCAAACUGCGAAUACCGGAGAAUGUUAUCACGGGAGACACACGGCGGGUGCUAACGUCCGUCGUGAAGAGGGAAACAACCCAGACCGCCAGCUAAGGUCCCAAAGUCAUGGUUAAGUGGGAAACGAUGUGGGAAGGCCCAGACAGCCGGAUGUUGGCUUAGAAGCAGCCAUCAUUUAAAGAAAGCGUAAUAGCUCACUGGUCGAGUCGGCCUGCGCGGAAGAUGUAACGGGGCUAAACCAUGCACCGAAGCUGCGGCAGCGAACGUAUCACCCAAGACAACUUUACGGAGUUGACGAUUGACGGAGCGAAGCGACGUCAAAGCGUUCAUUAAAGUCGAGUUGGCUUAGGGAUACGUUCGUUGGGUAGGGGAGCGUUCUGUAAGCCUGUGAAGGUGUGUCGUGAGGCAUGCUGGAGGUAUCAGAAGUGCGAAUGCUGACAUAAGUAACGAUAAAGCGGGUGAAAAGCCCGCUCGCCGGAAGACCAAGGGUUCCUGUCCAACGUUAAUCGGGGCAGGGUGAGUCGACCCCUAAGGCGAGGCCGAAAGGCGUAGUCGAUGGGAAACGGGUUAAUAUUCCCGUACUUGGUGUUACUGCGAAGGGGGGACGGAGAAGGCUAUGUUGGCCGGGCGACGGUUGUCCCGGUUUAAGCGUGUAGGUGUGUGUUCCGUAAAAUCCGGUUCACUUUAACACUGAGGCGUGACGACGAGGCACUACGGUGCUGAAGCAACAAAUGCCCUGCUUCCGUGAAAGCCUCUAAGCAUCAGGUAACACGAAAUCGUACCCCAAACCGACACAGGUGGUCAGGUAGAGAAUACCAAGGCGCUUGAGAGAACUCGGGUGAAGGAACUAGGCAAAAUGGUGCCGUAACUUCGGGAGAAGGCACGCUGACACGUAGGUGAAGUGAUUUACUCACGGAGCUGAAGUCAGUCGAAGAUACCAGCUGGCUGCAACUGUUUAUUAAAAACACAGCACUGUGCAAACACGAAAGUGGACGUAUACGGUGUGACGCCUGCCCGGUGCCGGAAGGUUAAUUGAUGGGGUCAGCGCAAGCGAAGCUCCUGAUCGAAGCCCCGGUAAACGGCGGCCGUAACUAUAACGGUCCUAAGGUAGCGAAAUUCCUUGUCGGGUAAGUUCCGACCUGCACGAAUGGCGUAAUGAUGGCCGGGCUGUCUCCACCCGAGACUCAGUGAAAUUGAACUCGCUGUGAAGAUGCAGUGUACCCGCGGCAAGACGGAAAGACCCCGUGAACCUUUACUAUAGCUUGACACUGAACAUUGAGCCUUGAUGUGUAGGAUAGGUGGGAGGCUUUGAAGUGUGGACGCCAGUCUGCAUGGAGCCGACCUUGAAAUACCACCCUUUAAUGUUUGAUGUUCUAACGUGGACCCGUAAUCCGGGUUGCGGACAGUGUCUGGUGGGUAGUUUGACUGGGGCGGUCUCCUCCUAAAGAGUAACGGAGGAGCACGAAGGUUGGCUAAUCCUGGUCGGACAUCAGGAGGUUAGUGCAAUGGCAUAAGCCAGCUUGACUGCGAGCGUGACGGCGCGAGCAGGUGCGAAAGCAGGUCAUAGUGAUCCGGUGGUUCUGAAUGGAAGGGCCAUCGCUCAACGGAUAAAAGGUACUCCGGGGAUAACAGGCUGAUACCGCCCAAGAGUUCAUAUCGACGGCGGUGUUUGGCACCUCGAUGUCGGCUCAUCACAUCCUGGGGCUGAAGUAGGUCCCAAGGGUAUGGCUGUUCGCCAUUUAAAGUGGUACGCGAGCUGGGUUUAGAACGUCGUGAGACAGUUCGGUCCCUAUCUGCCGUGGGCGCUGGAGAACUGAGGGGGGCUGCUCCUAGUACGAGAGGACCGGAGUGGACGCAUCACUGGUGUUCGGGUUGUCAUGCCAAUGGCACUGCCCGGUAGCUAAAUGCGGAAGAGAUAAGUGCUGAAAGCAUCUAAGCACGAAACUUGCCCCGAGAUGAGUUCUCCCUGAGACUUUAGGUCUCCUGAAGGAACGUUGAAGACGACGACGUUGAUAGGCCGGGUGUGUAAGCGCAGCGAUGCGUUGAGCUAACCGGUACUAAUGAACCGUGAGGCUUAACCUUACAACGCCGAAG